CCUGGAGGAUUAUCGAGUUCGUUCCGACAGAAUGGAAAUUAAAGACAAGACUCGAAAGGUUACACGUUCAUUCAUAGUGCUUUGUUUUUUAGCCAUGAAAUUCAAUAAUGAUAAUUGGUAGUUAUGAAAAACCUUGGGGAAGUUUGGAGCGAAGAUUAAAGUUAUGGUGUGACUUAAUGAAUGGACUAUCUUUG
rnacentral:sRNA from 12 species